AGUGAACGCUGGCGGUAGGCCUAACACAUGCAAGUCGAACGGCAGCACAGUAAGAGCUUGCUCUUACGGGUGGCGAGUGGCGGACGGGUGAGGAAUACAUCGGAAUCUACUUUUUCGUGGGGGAUAACGUAGGGAAACUUACGCUAAUACCGCAUACGACCUACGGGUGAAAGCAGGGGAUCUUCGGACCUUGCGCGAUUGAAUGAGCCGAUGUCGGAUUAGCCAGUUGGCGGGGUAAAGGCCCACCAAGGCGACGAUCCGUAGCUGGUCUGAGAGGAUGAUCAGCCACACUGGAACUGAGACACGGUCCAGACUCCUACGGGAGGCAGCAGUGGGGAAUAUUGGACAAUGGGCGCAAGCCUGAUCCAGCCAUACCGCGUGGGUGAAGAAGGCCUUCGGGUUGUAAAGCCCUUUUGUUGGGAAAGAAAAGCAGCAGGUUAAUACCCAGCUGUUCUGACGGUACCCAAAGAAUAAGCACCGGCUAACUUCGUG
rnacentral:rRNA from 1 species